rnacentral:rRNA from 1 species
UGGGACUAAGCCAUGCAAGUCUAGGGGCCGAGGCCACGGUCGGUCCCGGCGCACGGCUGAGUAACACGUGGCCAACCUACCCUCGGGAGGGGGAUAACCCCGGGAAACUGGGGCUAAUCCCCCAUAGGCGCAGACUCCUGGAAUUGGGUCUGGCCGAAAGGUUGCAACGCCAUGCCCGUUGCAACCGCCCGAGGAUGGGGCUGCGCCCUAUCAGGUAGUUGGCGGGGUAACGGCCCGCCAAGCCGAUAACGGGUAGGGGCCGUGAGAGCGGGAGCCCCCAGAUGGGCACUGAGACAAGGGCCCAGGCUCUACGGAGCGCAGCAGGCGCGAAACCUCCGCAAUGCGGGAAACCGUGACGGGGUCACCCCGAGUGCCACCCGCUGAGGGUGGCUUUUCCCCGGUGUAAGAAGCCGGGGGAAUAAGCGGGGGGCAAGCCUGGUGUCAGCCGCCGCGGUAAUACCAGCCCCGCGAGUGGUCGGGAUGUUUACUGGGCCUAAAGCAUCCGUAGCCGGCCCGGGAAGUCCUCCUUGAAAUCCUCUCGCUCAACCCGAGGGCUGAGGAGGAUACUGCGGAGCUAGGGGGCGGGAGAGGCCUAGAGUACUCCCGGGGUAGGGGCGAAAUCUGUUAAUCCCGGGAGGACUACCAGUGGCGAAGGCGCUCGGCUGGAACGCGCCCUACGGUUAGGGAUGAAAGCUGGGGGAGCAAAGGGGAUUAGACACCCGCGUAGUCCCAGCUGUAAACGAUGCAGGCUAGGUGU